UUGUCUUUUUAUCCUAAGAAAGUGCUGGAGUGACUUUAUGAUGCUGGUAUUCCCAUCACCUGGCUUUUUGCUCAGAAAUGGGUCCUGUAGCUUUAAGCUAGGCCCACAGAGAGAGAGACAGGGGAGCGGUGGAAAUUUUUCGUGGCUCGUGUUCAAAACACAGAGAGAUAAGGAGUGCAGUGCUGAAUUCUCGGCUUUUGCAGAGGGAGGGACAGGAAGAUUUUCUUUGCUUUUUUCGCUGGUUUUCCUCGUUAGCUACGGCGAGGAAGGUCUUCCCAGGACUGUGUCUUUUUUUCUGGAACUGUUCGGCUUCUCUCCGGUCCAGAACACCAGGACAGUCGCUCGAGGGGGGUCCUCCAAGAUGUUCUGAGGCCUGGGCACUGGGUCCAAGCCUGGAGGGCCUGAGAGAGGCUGAACAGAAUAAGACAUAUCCACAGAGGACUCUCAGAACUAGAGAAGCACUCUCUCUGAAUUUGCCAUCUCUUCAGAGCAAUGUUGGAGAAGGAGCUGCAGGAAUUAGUUUUUAAAGGAGACCCCCUUUGGGAAAUUUCAUCAUAAAUUUUGUCCCAAAGCAGGACAGAAAGACCGGGACCCGGGGAAACACCGAGAACACUGCAGACUGCCCGGACCCACUGUGCAGCCUUUCCUAGGACCAGAGAGACUGAUAACAGAGCAACCCCCCACUGGAGAGACUUUCUGAAUUUGUCCUCUCUUCAGAGCUGUGAAUGAGUUUUGUUCAUUUUGUGUGCUGGGGAGUGCUUUGCCCGUUAAAUAAACAGGUUCUUUCCACUUCUCUCUGAGGAAUCCUUCCUGAACCGGUUGUGGGGGAGAGGCCGUGUCAGUUUGCUUUCUGGAGAAGCCUCCCUUUGGAGAUUUUCUCCCAAAUUUGGCCUAAACAGGACAACUGAGUACCUAGUUCCAGUAAAAAUGCUAGAUUAUUUUAUUUGUCUUGAGACCUGAGAAUGCGUAAGUAACAGAACUCAUGCCUUAUAUAUAAAUCUAUACCUAUACUGCCAAAGAAAUCUGAAAUUAAGCCUUACUCAGAGCUGAAAAAAAAUCAUUAUAUUUAAAUACAAGGAUUUACUGACUGAUUUAGUUAAAGACAGUUAAAGAUAUUUAGUUAAAGUUAUUUAAAAGUACAAGAAGAAAAGGAAAGUAACAAUUCAUCAUAAAUUACAAUAGAUCCUUUUUGGAAAAAAAAUCUGCAAAGUAACAAAAUGUAAUACAAGAAGGCUUUUAAUAAAGAUUAUUUUAUAAAAUAAUUUCAAAGUCAAACAUAGUAACUGCUUUCUUACUAAAUCAGCCAUUCCUUCACUAUCUGAAGCCUAAACAAAUUAAAAUAUUGGCCUGUAUUGUUCCACUAAAUAUAAAGCAAUGCUUUACACUGAUUAAUUUGUUUAGGAGUGAUGGCAUAUCUCUGUCUACUUUUAAAAGUAGAUUAAGGUCAGUUUCAGUAAUAUUCAGAAACAUAGACCACUUCAAGUGGGUAAUGAUGUUAUGAUGUAUAUAAAAUAAAUGUACUGUUAUAAUAGCAUAUGAUAAUACAUUAAUUUAAGUAGGCUAUUAUGUCCAUCUUAGUUUUAAUGUGUGACCCACUAAACUUCUUUUUCAGAACUAUACCACCUAUUUUGAUGUAAGCUGUCAAUGUAAUGUUAAUAGAAAAAGACCUUAAAAUAAGUUGAAAACAAAACCCAAAUACAAUUACAAUGCAUUUCAAGUCUACUGUAAAGGUUACAAGAAGAGUUUUGGAGUCUGCCUUCUUGGAAAGUUUUAAACUUAAAUAGACAUCAAUUCAGAGAAUCAUUAUGGAGCAGAUCCCUUGAGGGAAAAAAUUGUUUUGGACAGCAUUUUCUAGAUAACAUUGCGUAGCAUAGGGUAAAGUAUGGCUGUAGUCCAUUGAAAAGUAUCUUUCAUGCAUAAUUUGACAUUUGACAAAUAGUCAGGUUUACUUGUAAUAUUUGUUCUCUGCUGAUCAAUCGUUAACUGAGAUCUAUAGGUCUAGCAGGCAGAAAUAUUUUUCCACUGAGCAUCCUUUCCUGGUCUAAUCCUUCCUGAGAAGCAUCUAAAAGAGCUGUAAUUACAGGAAAAGUGUUCAUUUAAAUAACUGUAAAAAAAUGAUGAUUCUGAGUCUGGUCUCUUGAUCAUUCUUGGGCAGGCUUUGCCUCCUUCAGCCUCUGAGAGCCUCUGGGCUGAGAAAACAGCUUUGCUUGAAGACAACCUCAUCCAACAAUGGCUGAAUUUAUUUGAAGUAGAUCAGUUUCAAUAAAAGAACUCCCACAAGAGCCACCCCAGAAAGGUGACCAAUAUGUCCAAUAUAUUAAUCAGAAGUUAUUUGUGAUUCAUAUACAAUAAAUGUAUCUUCAGCCAUUUAUUGGUUUUUACCAAUAUUACUGAACGGGAUGCGCCUUGGCUUGUCUGGUCCCUGCUGCUGAACGAAAUAGCAGCAACUGUGGUCUUUUCUCCCCAGAGAUGCUAUUUAGCUACCGGUGGGUUGCAGCUGGGCACAUGAGGACAAGCCCAGGCAUGCCCAAGCUCCAGUGCUUAUAGGCUGGAGUUUGUUGGUAGAAGAGGGUCACUCCUCAGGCCUCCCUGUGCUGGAGAAACCUUUUAAGGUGAUGGUGAAGAAGGAGUCAGUCCUGAUGGAGGGUUUAAUCCAGAGUUUUUAUUCUGGGCCACAUGGCCUCUGAAUGUAAUAACAGCUCCAGUCGGACUUCUCCCGAACAUGGUCUCCUAGGCCUUUUAACCAGGGGACAGGGGGAGGGGAGAGAACACAGGGACCACCAAUCCAGGUACAUCUGGAUGGGCCAAUGGCCUCCCAGGGGGUGGAGAGCAUCCUCUGAACCUGCCAAUCACUUGAUGCUCCCCUGGAAUUUCUGGAUUGAUAGACAGUGCCCAGCAGGAGUCAGGGUGGGGAAAAGGCGAGGUGAUUGACUCCUGGGGAAGAACCUGGGUAACUGAGGCAAGCCAUGACAUCACAAUUCAACCGCCAUUCUUUCACAGAACAGAGGGAGAACUGUAAUUUUAUGUAGUGCUGUUGUAGUCUAAUUUUGGUAGUGAAGUACCAACUUUCACACAGCAUUUCCUGUUUAAAUGCCUCACCCUGAUAGUGAGAUCUGGACUGAAUUUCCUCCUUCCCUUGAAGAGAUGAAAAGGAAAAUCCUGCUGUUUGCUACAAUGCUCUGACAGUGUUACUCCGAAAAAAAAUAUCUUUGAAACUGUCAUCACACAGAAAUUUUUAUACAAAAGUGAAGAGGAUGUGCCCAAAAGCCCCACAGAAACUAAGCAGUGUCUAGAGCACACUUAAGUUUUUACUUUGAUACCUUCACUCUGCCUAAAAUUUCCACUUCUGCAAAUUUUCAUGGAUUUUGUUGUAUUGUUAGUGACUUCAACUGAAUAUUUCACAUAGUGAUAAGUAGGUUUCUUAUGAAACACUGAGUACAUUUUAGCUCCACUUCUGACCUUGAACAAGUUUUGUCUCACUGAAGUCUAUGAAAUGCACCAGAUUUAAAAGUGGCAAGUAUUAGGCAGAUUUUGAUGCCCAGAUGUCAAUAAAUUGUAAAUAAGAGAAUUUCUGCUGCUCAGUCUGGAAAUAAAGACCACAGACAUUAAUGACUUUUGGUUGUAGAACAGCUUCCAAAGUUCUUCUUGUGGAAGACCUUAAUACAUUUAAAUUGAACUCAAAGUUCUACAUUAAAAUAUUUGGUUAUCAAGCUUGAUAAUACUGCAGUUCUACAAGGUAGGUAAGUGCUCUUGGAGUGUUUUUUCAAGGUCCAAAGUUAAUUUAAAAAGAAAGACUUACAGGCAGACUUUAUCUUAUUUUAUAUUGAAGAUUCACACUGUAUUCCAUCUGGUUCAUGAUUUUCACUAAGGAAAAAUCUCUAGUGAACCAAACACACCAUGAACGUCAAACAAAUAACAAAGAGAUUACAGACUCUCUAAGAAAUGAUUUAACAUCAUCUUCUAGGAUAAAGAAGCUGUCAGUAAUACUUGGUGUCUCAGUAAGUAGUCCAAAAUAACUUUGUGAACAAAUAAUGAAAUAGGGGUCACUUUUGCUCUUUGGAACUUCUCUCUCUUCUGCUUCAACAGAAGCAGCUGGAGCUGUAGUACAACAGGAAGUGAAAAAACUGCCAGUAUCAGUACAACAGCUGCUGGCAUUCUGUAAGUUUUCAAGGAGUGCAUGUUAGAACAAAAUACUCUGGAGGCAGCAAAAGGAUACUAAAAGGGAAGAACAGAGUUCAUUGCUACUCUUGUUAGCCUUAGGACCGAAAGCAGAACUUGGGUAUACUUUAGCUGAGGAUUUCUACGUUGAGUUGACUGGUGGUAGCUCACUACAAAUGCACUCCCUAGGUACUAGAAGCAAUGAUAAACUAAUCGGGAUAAACUAGACCAAGUAGCCAGUAAGGGCAACUGAGAAGCUGCUGGAAAAAGUACCCAUCUUUUUGUAACUCACAUAUAGACUGAAGCACAGACUUCAAGUUUUGUACUACAUACAUGCUGAAUUCAGGUUUUUAACUCAAGUAAUUGCCUACUUAUAAGACAAAGUUUUUAGUUGUGACAUUUUCGUACCAUCUAUAAUACUUUAAUACUUUGCCUCUGGAACAUGGGAAUGACCUUGAUCCAUGUGUAUUCUGAAAGACAGUGCUGUAACUGGAUGUUUUCUUCUUGUUAUGGUUACCAGAUGCAUUACAAUUUCUUUGGAAAUAACAGUGAGCCGCUUUAAGUACACAGUUUUUGUGUUAGUGCUAAGCUAAAGUGAUUAUUGUACAUAUGAUGAUCUCCUUUCUAGUAUUAACUACAACCCAUAUCUCAUACAAUAGUGGAAAAGGAGUUUUAUAUUACAUUAUUGCAAAAUUGAGUGGAUAUUGUUAUGAAUAGAAAGUUGUAUUUUUUUUUAAGUUUCAGAGUUAAAAAAACCAAGUCAGACCGGGUCAGACUCCUUUAGUUUCGCUGCCGAAGAAAAGCCCUUAAUCACUCGUUAAUGGCGGGUGAUUAACUGAUUGUUUCCCUGAUUCUGGCCGUAUGCAAAGAAGACACCAAGGGAAACCCUCCAGGGUAAAGAGAAUGGGCAGUGACACCAGAGACAACAUGCAAAUAAGAAAUGCAUUGCACCCUGGGUUUUUACAGUUUUACAGUUUUUACAAGAAAAAAACCCCUAAAAUCACGAGCCAACAAGUGACUUAAAGUGACAUCUAAGGAUGAGAGCAUUGUCCCGUACCUGCUUGAAUCUUUUUAUUUCUCACCCUAACCUGAAAAGAAACUGAUUAAAGAGACCCCCCCGGGUUUCUAAACCAACAAACUGAGGACUCAACGACUCUCCCGUGAGGACAGAGUCCCCAGUUCUGUCUGCAGACCAGCGGACAAAACUGCAUCAUCCUCCUCCUUCGUGCCACGCCUGGGAGCAACGGCGGCGAGGGUGCAACCCGUCGAUUUCUCCCCACCUGAGCUGAUUCUUCUUAAUAAAGGCAUUAAAAAGGAGAAAGAUCUCCUGCCCAUUUAUUUCAGAUAUUUUAUAUAUUACACAAAAAUAUAUUAAAACUACUUUUUCCAUCUAUGCCCUAUGAUAAAGAGAAGUUGAAUUCCAGAAGGGAAACAAACUCUUCUGUGGGAACAGAUAUAGUAAUUAAUGAACUAUGUCAAGGUUCAUGUCAAGUAACAUAAAUUGCUAACAGAUGAAUAGAGAAAUAUUAUCUUGAAAUGAAAAUGUGUAAUCCUAACUGCCAUCUAACAGGACUUUGUUCAUAACCAGAAGUCUAGAUCUUCCAACAAUUAGAAGACCAGAUGAAUACUCCUAAAACUUGUUGUCUGGCUUUCAGACAGCUGUCACACUGUAAUCUGUCAGAGAAAAACACUAAUAAGUGUUGGGGUCGGCUGUUAAUUGUCUCUGCCCCAACACGGGAAAAAGUGGUUCUGGGCAGGCCGCGCUUUGAAGAAAGAGUCUGGACUCUUGAGUUUUCGGUCUUCGGUUGUGUUUAUUGUUUCUUAUCUACAAAGUCUUUCUGUCUGCCCAGAAGGGGUCUGAUCAGCAAGACAGCCAAAGGCACUGUCUCCCGCCCACAGGGCAGUUGUCUCUUUUAUAGUGAAAACUACGUAUAGGAUAUUUACCUUCUGUUUCCAAUACUUUUCGCCCUUGUUAACAAGUGCACCUUCACCAUGAACCAAUCCACAUGUGCCAACAUCAUCCUGAACAUGGAUGCCAAGGAGAAGAAAGAAGAAGGACAGGGCACGCCCAAAUCCCUCCAUCUUGGGACUCCUGACCCCCAUGUACAGGAUUCCAAACCCCCCUGUACUACACACAAAACCCACCCUGUACAGUGCAUUAAAAUCUAUGUUUCACCCAGUGAAUAUCAUCCCUUCACUAUUCAAACUUGAAAUUCUCUCAUCUCCUCAUACUCAGGUGUCACUUCUUUAGAAGCAUCAAAGUCAAGCCACCAGGCACUUUUGGCAACAUUCCAAGACUUCCAAGCCCUCCAAGGGUUGUCUCGGUAGCUCUGGACAUCCGGAGUGAUGUACUGAGUUCCCACAAAUAAGCUCUGAAUAAGACAAUAAAGACAGAACCAGAUUGUA